rnacentral:rRNA from 1 species
AGACCGAUAGCGAACAAGUAGAGUGAUCGAAAGAUGAAAAGUACUUUGGAAAGAGAGUUAAAAAGCACGUGAAAUUGUUGAAAGGGAAGCGCCUGCAACCAGACUUCGCGGCAGUGUUCCGCCGGUCUUCUGACCGGUUCAUUCUCUGUCGCGAGGCCAUCAUCGUCUGGGCCCGCCGGAUAAGACCUUAGGAAUGUAGCUCACCUUCGGGGGAGUGUUAUAGCCUAUGGUGAUGCGGCGAGGCUCGGGCGAGGUCCGCGCUUCGGCAAGGAUGAUGGCGUAAUGGUUGUCGGCGGCCCGUCUUGAAACACGGACCAAG